GCCCUGAGUGCACUGCUGAACCAUCUCAUCGGGAGUAUCAUCCGGUAACUAAAAGUCCACAUAAUAAUCCGACGGCCAUCUCGGCCUAAGUCUACUCCCCUCAAAAGCCUCAGUUGGAGGUGCAGCCCCUAAUAAUCGCUCGCAAAGUGACUGCCACUGCGGUAUCAUAAAUGCAGGAUCAUGACAAGUAAUUGGCAAACCAUCGACACGUAAACCAAUCA
rnacentral:lncRNA from 1 species